GCUCAGGAUGAACGCUAGCUACAGGCUUAACACAUGCAAGUCGAGGGGUAGCAGGGUAGCAAUACCGCUGACGACCGGCGCACGGGUGAGUAACACGUAUCCAACCUUCCCAUAACUCGGGGAUAGCCUUUCGAAAGAAAGAUUAAUACCCGAUAGUACUUUUUUAGGGCAUCUUAGAAAAGUUAAAGAUUUAUUGGUUAUGGAUGGGGAUGCGUUCCAUUAGAUAGUUGGUGAGGUAACGGCUCACCAAGUCUUCGAUGGAUAGGGGUUCUGAGAGGAAGGUCCCCCACAUUGGUACUGAGACACGGACCAAACUCCUACGGGAGGCAGCAGUGAGGAAUAUUGGUCAAUGGGCG
rnacentral:rRNA from 1 species